rnacentral:rRNA from 1 species
CGCGUAGGCGGCCACCGCAAGUCGACUGUGAAAUCUCCGGGCUUAACCCGGAGAGGUCAGCCGAUACUGCGGGGCUAGAGUGCAGAAGGGGCAACUGGAAUUCUCGGUGUAGCGGUGAAAUGCGUAGAUAUCGAGAGGAACACCUGCGGCGAAGGCGGGUUGCUGGGCUGACACUGACGCUGAAGUGCGAAAGCUAGGGGAGCGAACG